AAUAUGUUACUUGUGACCCUAUAUGACUCACAGGCAGCAUAGAGGCUGUGGUGAGCUGUGCGCUGUGGAAGGCAACGAAGGCUGGGUGACGGGAAGCGGUGUGGCCCCUGUGGGCACGGAGGUCCAGAGCCUCUGGGCGCUGAGAAGGUCCUAGAAGCAAACAGACCCAGUAAUCAAUCCCAGCUGCCGUGUGAUGUCCUGCCUCUUUUGUCACAUGUGAUGCCAACAGUAGGGAAGAAGUUUUUCAAGUGCCAAGGUGAUGAAUGUGUGAGAUUUUCAAACCCACGGGAGUUACCAGAAUGGAUUCCCUUCAGAGAAGCCUCUGUUGAUGGAACUUCUGCAGACAGGCAGCUCUGAGCUAAUAUACGGGGAUGUUCCUCCCGUGCUGGGUUCUGCCGGGGGUGGGGAGUCGGAGCAAGUGAGACAUAUUUCUACCGCUUCAAGCCUGCACGGUGCCUACAACAACGUUGCCGUUGUGGUGACGACUUAACCCUACUCGAGUGCUGAGAACGCUGGGAUCCGGGCAAGUUGGCAAAGCAGACGCAGGAGGACCUCCUGCUCCCUGCUUCAGGCUCCUGGUUUCUUGCACUUCGUCCUCCCUCAAUGGCAAGGGAUGGAGAGAGCUCGCAGGCUCCAGCCCAGCAGAACGAAUGGCUGGCCUUGGGAAAAGCCUCCCUUUCACAGACACUUGGAGCUAGCUUGCACUCACAGCCACAGGGUUCCAGCCAAAGGAAGCAGAAAACUUUGUGGGCUUUCUGUGUCACCUCUGGAUGGGACAGAAGAGCCUAAGACAUUGCUCUGCUGUUUGCACCUGGGGCACCCAGUAGCAAGCACUAAGUCAGGGGCCAUGUGCUCAAGCCACCAAGAUGCCUGGGACCGCGGAGACAGAGGUCAGACUGGCAGAGGCUUCACCUGGAAAUCUUUAGGUUUUGAUUUAAAAACCUCCAUUUAUGGGGCGCCUGCAGGCCAGGCAUUGUGAUAGGGCUUUGCAUAUAUUAUAUCUAAUCUUUCCAGCUACCUUGCACAGUAGCUGUCACUACCCUCAUUUUAGAAGUGAGGAAGUAAAGGUGCUGGCUAUGAGCUUUUUCAUGGCUCUUGGCCCUGCCAAUAGAGCCCGGUCGGAAGCGUCCUAGUUUGGUGAAGAAUCCAAAAUGGAAGGGAUAUUAGAGGUCAUGUCUACCUUCUGAGGAUAAUGAUGAAAAGAGAUCCAAAGCCAGAAAUGUAAAUUAUUCUGCUCAAGGACACACAGCUGAGCUGUGUCUUCAAGUCUGUCCCUUCUUUCCCAUGUAACAGCAGGAGAACAGAGAGUUAGAGUUGUCGCCUGGGAUGAACGGGACAAAUGUCAAGGCUGCCCCGGCUCUGUCUCUAAGCAAUGAUCUUCACAGGCAUGGCAGGUUUCGAAGGUCUUCUCAUCUUGAUCUGGUUGACAUCUCUUAAAAAUGAGGGAAGGGGAACCUUUGCAGUUCUGGAGGAUAAAGUAACGUGCCAAUGAGAAAAGUAGACAUCCACAUCUAUAAAAUGUUUUCAGCCCCUCACAAGGAAAGUGCAGGAGGGGAGUCGAUGGUUGCAGAGUUUUCUUUUUUCCAUCAUCUUGUAAUCCUAGGUGUCACGCACUGCUAAAUCUUUGCUUCCACAGGGUGACAAGUUUGCUUUGCUCACUCUUUGGUUUGCUCCAGAUGGCUUGGGGUUCCAACUGAAAGCUCUUCUAGAAACAUCCCUGCAUCAUCUCACGAAGUCUCUGGGGAGUGUAUAGUCUACGUUCAGAGCCAUAACAUACACAUCAGUCUCUUUGAGCCACACGUGGGAUUACCCAGACCCUGGCAUCUCAGAACGCAGAAAUGGUAUAUGUACUGGCAUCUGGGUGAACACCAUGUACAGGAUAGUUAAGAAGCAUUAGGGCUGAAAGGGAACUUGGAGGCUAUUUCCAACUCUCAUUCACUGAAGCAAAUCCUACCUAUUUUUCAUCUGACCAGUGAGUGCCCUUCAGAAAUUCUCAGAUAGUCAACCUGUUGGUACAGUGAUUGGGUCACUCGCAAGGGCACAGACUAGGUAGGUUGGAUGAUUGGUUCUACUUUUCACUUCAAAUGAUCUUUAAGAGUCAGUUCUAUUUAUCUGUUAAGUGAAUACAAUAAUGGAUAAACCCGUGUUCCUAAAUUGAAUGAAAUCCAAAACCCACACAUAUUCAAGAGUCUAUCCUAGCUAGCCGGGGCCAUGCUCCCUACAUUUCAGCCACUGGUUGGCUUGUUGGUCCAUGAACAUGUCAUGACAGUGCCCGCUGGAAAUAAUAACAGUAACUUCUUCAGUUUGCUAUCUAUGAUUUACACUCUUAUCAAAAAGGAUUUGAGGGGUGCCUUGGUGGCUUAGUCAGUUAAGUGUCCGAUGCUUGGUUUCGGCUCAGGUCAUGAUCUCACGGUUCAUGAGAUCAAGACCUGAGUCGCGCUCCGUGCUGACAGCAUGGAGCCUGCAUGGGUUUCUCUAUCUUCCCCUCUCUCUCUGCUCCUCCCUCUCUCUCCAAAUAAAUAAACUUAAAAAAAAAAGGAUUUGAUGCUCUGAAGUUAACCUUUCACAUUUACUUUCCCACUUAACCCUUCAAAGGAUCCUGUGAAAGAGAUCUAUGUUGCCAUUUUGCAGAUGCCAAACCCAGGCACAGACAGGUGAAAUACCAAGCUCAAGGUCACAUAGUGUGUUAGAUGCAGGAACAGUGGGUCCCCCGAUUUCCAAUCCAGCAUUCUUUUUUCUAUAUUACAUGGGAUCGGGGCUUGAUUCUCCUUAAUACUCCAGAUUUGGAAUAUAUGUUAAGCCACAAUAAUGCUUUCUCCCAAGAUGGGAAAAACAGCUGGCUGUUGCCUUGCUACACCACAGUUGUGACCAUAUACCUAAUGUGCACCCAAGCUUCCCUGUCUUGUCCUCUCUGCUGGGAAUGCCCUCCCCUUCCCUUCUCUGAGUGAUUAACUCCUCUUCAUUCCGCGUAAGGCCACAUCUUCUCUGAUUAAUUUCCUUGUCUAUGUCCCGUGGUGCUUUGCAUGCCUCCACUGCAGCACGUCAGGGGGCAGCAAGCCAUAGCCAGCCGUAUGCCAUGGAGUCACGGAACGGAUGAGGACACAGUGACCAACUAGGGGGAAAGCUUGUUCAGAUCCACGCUCAAGUCUUGUUGUUUAUCUUUGCACCACAGUGUCUGAAACACAGUGGAGAUUUGGUAGAUAUUUGACCAGAAGUGGCCCAGAGUCUGAAACUCAGCCUGCUCCUAGAAAGAAACAAGGUGGCAGGCAGGGGAUAAUGUAGUAAAAAUGGAAGCCAGGAUCUCAGCCUGCAGAUGUCAAAGUGGCUUUCUUGAGGCUGUGUAUAACUUCCUGCAGUGCCUGUGCAUUUGGAAUGGUUAUGAGCACUUUGGAGGGACUCUGGAAACCCUUUGGGAGAUGGGUCUACCAUCAGUUCCUGUUUUGAGUCAGCGUUAGCUCCCUUAACUAAUGCCUUGAGAGCUUAAGGCAUGUGUGCUACCAUUGUCUUAGCACGGAUUUUCCCUUCUAAGUGUCAAAAACAGCAUUAGAUGAAGAAAAUGAAUUGAGGAGGGGGGAGGGGAGGCAAUCUGCAAGUCCCAGAGUAACCUCUAGUUUGGUUUUAUCCGAUUUCAUUGUUAAUUUCACAAUCAAGCAAGAGUACUUCGUAUCUCUGAACGACCCACGGAUUGUAUCUUAAUCAAAUUAAUGUAUCUGUAACAUAAGACUGAUUCAGUGUUCAACUGUUAGAGCGACAAAUGAUGCAAAGCCUAA